rnacentral:rRNA from 1 species
GUGGGGAAUAUUGGACAAUGGGCGAAAGCCUGAUCCAGCCAUGCCGCGUGUGUGAAGAAGGCCUUCGGGUUGUAAAGCACUUUAAGCGAGGAGGAAAGGUUGAAGGUUAAUACCCUUUAGCUGUGACGUUACUCGCAGAAUAAGCACCGGCAAACUUCGUGCCAGCAGCCGCGGUAAUACGAAGGGUGCAAGCGUUAAUCGGAAUUACUGGUCGUAACGCGCGCGUUGGUGGUUAAGUAAGCGAUCUGUGAAAGCCCCGGGCUCAACCUGGGAAUUGCAGGUCGAACUGCUUGGCUAGAGUAUGGUAGAGGGGUGUGGAAUUCCAGGUGGAGCGGUGAAAUGCGUAGAUAUCUGGAGGAACAUCAGUGGCGAAGGCGACACCCUGGACCGAUACUGACACUGAGGUGCGAAAGCGUGGGUAGCGAACAGGAUUAGAAACCCGUGUAGUCC